rnacentral:rRNA from 1 species
GGAGCUAUUGGCUUUGAAUUGUAUUGUGGAAAUGUAUUACCAACAGAGGUGCAGGUGCCAGCCUAUUGAAAUAAAGCGUCAAUGAGGGUGAGAAUCCUGUUUGUCAUGUGCAGCCCUUUGUGCACGGUGUAUAUUUGCUGAGUCACACUCCUUGGCAUUGGAAUGCAAAGUGGGUGGUAAGUUUCAUGUAAAGGUAAACAUGCAAUUGAGACUGAUAGCACACAAGUACCAUGAGGGAAAUAUGAAAAGGACUUUGAAAAGAGAAUUAAAUGAGUUUGUAUUUGCUGAACACAAAGUAAACAGACUUGAUUUGCUUGGUGGGAGUGUUGCACUUGCUUGACAAGAGCUUUGGGCUGUGGGUGUAAUGAUUCUUUCUUUGCAUGCCAGUUUCUAUUUGUACAUCUGAUUACCUUUGCACAUGAAUGAUAAGUCUCCUGUGGGGGGUGGAUUGCAUGUGCAUGUAAUGAUUUGUGUUUUGAUAAAUGUGUCUGGUGUAUGUGUGUGUUCCUGUGCUUGGGGAUGCUUCCUUCCUUGGACUUACAAGCCCUGACACACACAUGCUGGCAAAAUGCUUCUGCUUGACCCGUCUUGAAACACGGACCAAGGAGUCUAACAGAUGUGCAAAGUUUGAAGGUGGUAUACCUUUGUGUGCAAUGAAAGUGUCAGCUGGGAUAUGUGCACCAGCACCCAAUUAAUUAGCGGACAGAGGUUUGAGUUGGAGCAUAUCUAUUAGGACCCGAAAGAUGGUGAACUAUGCCUGAACAGAAUGAAUUCAGAGGAAACUCUGAUGGAGGUUCGUAUCGAUACUGACGUGCAAAUCGUUCGUCAUAUUUGGGUAUAGGGGCGAAAGACUAAUCGAACCAUCUAGUAGCUGGUUCCCUCCGAAGUUUCCCUCAGGAUAGCUGGAGUUGCUCAGUUUUAUCAGGUAAAGCGAAUGAUUAGAGGAAUUGGGGACAGGUUUGUCUUUGACCUAUUCUCAAACUUUAAAUGGGUAAUAUGUAGUGGUUGCUGUAUGGAACUUCUAAGAUAAAUGGCAAUAUUGGGU